rnacentral:tRNA from 1 species
GCCGACGUGGUGGAAUUGGUAGACACGCUACCUUGAGGGGGUAGUGCCUUUGGGUGUGCCGGUUCGAAUCCGGCCGUCGGUACCA